GUAGGUGAACCUGCGGAGGGAUCAUUACACAAAUAUGAAAGCAGACCCUCAUUGGGGCGUAACGUCGCGCCGUGUCCGCAACGGCAUAUUGCUGUUGUGCUGACGCGGCGGGGAGGUACGCCCUUUUGGGCCAGUCUGACUCCAUAUUCACCCAUGUCUUUUGCGUACUACUUGUUUCCUUGGCGGGUUCGCCCGCCAAUUGGACCCAAUUAAACCUUUUUUGUAAUUGCAAUCAGCGUCAGCAAAACAAUGUAAUAAAUUACAACUUUCAACAACGGAUCUCUUGGUUCUGGCAUCGAUGAAGAACGCAGCGAAAUGCGAUAAGUAGUGUGAAUUGCAGAAUUCAGUGAAUCAUCGAAUCUUUGAACGCACAUUGCGCCCUUUGGUAUUCCAAAGGGCAUGCCUGUUCGAGCGUCAUUUGUACCCUCAAGCUUUGCUUGGUGUUGGGCGUUUUUGUCUCGGGUCCGCCCCGAGACUCGCCUUAAAAUCAUUGGCAGCCGGCCUACUGGUUUCGGAGCGCAGCACAUUUUUGCGCUCUGUCCAGUUGUGGUUUGCGUCCAUGAAGCGAAUAUUUUCAACGUUUGACCUCGGAUCAGGUAGAG
rnacentral:rRNA from 1 species